rnacentral:other from 1 species
AAAACCCUACUGUGUUCGUGAUCCUGCCGAGAGUGUUUUGAGCCAACACCAAAACAUUAGGAGCCUAACUCUGUAAACGGCGGGUAAGCCUUCUUCGAGAGGACACUUAAAGUUUACAGGAGGGCACCAACCUGCGAGAGCAGGUUCAAAACAUCGGCCCCACGGCAUCGGUGGGGUUUUA